rnacentral:rRNA from 1 species
GUGCCAGCAGCCGCGGUAAUACGUAGGGGGCAAGCGUUGUCCGGAUUUACUGGGUGUAAAGGGUGCUCAGGUGGACUUUUAAGUCAGAGGUGAAAUCCCAAAGCUUAACUUUGGAGCUGCCUUUGAUACUGAAAGUCUUGAGUUUGAGAGAGGGCAAUGGAAUAUCUGGUGUAGCAGUGAAAUGCGUAGAUAUCAGAUAGAACACCAAUGGCGAAGGCAGUUGCCUGGCUCAAAACUGACGCUAAAGCACGAAAGUGUGGGGAGCAAACAGGAUUAGAAACCCCUGUAGUCC